rnacentral:rRNA from 1 species
CCCAGACUCCUACGGGAGGCAGCAGUGGGGAAUAUUGGGCAAUGGAGGAAACUCUGACCCAGCAACGCCGCGUGAAUGAUGAAGGUCUUCGGAUUGUAAAGUUCUUUUCUAAGGGAAGAAGAAAGUGACGGUACCUUAGGAAUAAGCCUCGGCUAACUACGUGCCAGCAGCCGCGGUAAUACGUAGGAGGCAAGCGUUAUCCGGAAUGACUGGGCGUAAAGGGUGCGUAGGUGGUUUGACAAGUUGGUAGCGUAACUCCGGGGCUCAACCUCGGCACUACUACCAAAACUGUUGGACUUGAGUGCAGGAGGGGCAAAUGGAAUUCCUAGUGUAGCGGUGAAAUGCGUAGAUAUUAGGAGGAACACCAGUGGCGAAGGCGGCCUGCUGGGCUUUAACUGACGCUGAGGCUCGAAAGCGUGGGUAUCGAACAGGAUUAGAUACCCGCGUAUC